GCGUCAGUUGGUUGGUCGUGCCACCGGUACGUACUGGUCUCACUGAUUCCUCCUUCCUGAAGAACCGUAAUGCCAUUAAUUUGGUGUUGCGGGGAAACAGGACUGUUACUUUGAAAAAAUUAGAGUGUUUAAAGCAAGCUAACGCUUGAAUACAUUAGCAUGGAAUAAUGAAAUAGGACGAUCGAUCCUAUUUUGUUGGUUUCUAGGAUUGACGUA
rnacentral:rRNA from 1 species